rnacentral:rRNA from 1 species
UAUCCGGAAUUAUUGGGCGUAAAGGGCUCGUAGGCGGUUCGUCGCGUCCGGUGUGAAAGUCCAUCGCUUAACGGUGGAUCCGCGCCGGGUACGGGCGGGCUUGAGUGCGGUAGGGGAGACUGGAAUUCCCGGUGUAACGGUGGAAUGUGUAGAUAUCGGGAAGAACACCAAUGGCGAAGGCAGGUCUCUGGGCCGUUACUGACGCUGAGGAGCGAAAGCGUGGGGAGCGAACAGGAUUAGAUACCCUGGUAGUCCACGCCGUAAACGGUGGAUGCUGGAUGUGGGGCCCGUUCCACGGGUUCCGUGUCGGAGCUAACGCGUUAAGCAUCCCGCCUGGGGAGUACGGCCGCAAGGCUAAAACUCCAAGAAAUUGACGGGGGCCG